rnacentral:lncRNA from 1 species
CAUCCUAAGGAUGAAGGGGACAUCUCUUCCUUAUCCAGGGCUCCUGGUGCUGGCCUGGGAUCUGCUCUCAAGGGCUCCUGGGGAACGAAGGACCAUGUGGGAUUAAAGUCAGCCGGCCAUGUUCCAAAAGGCCAGGGCUUCCCUCUCCUUCACUUCCAAUGGAACAAGGAGGAGGAGGAGGCCAUAGAGUUCCACAGCCUGAGAGAGACCUCACUGGCUGACUGGCUAUCUAUCCAACCUCGAGUGUCCAGAUUGAACGGGGCCUGGGGCACUGCAUCUUUCAACCAGAUCUGGUUUCCACUGGAAGAAAUAUGUCACCAGGGGACCAGCUCUGCGGGUUCGAAGCCAAGUGCAGUUCCCAGUUUGCUAUCUAGUUUGCGUUUGCAGUUUAAGCUCAGCAGUUCCAACUCGCAAGCCUAGUCUACUCUGCCAUCAUGGGCUCCUAACUCUCUGGAACCAUAAGCCCAAAUAAAAUACUCUUAUACCAGUUGUCUUGGUCCUGG